GACGAACGCUGGCGGCGUGCUUAACACAUGCAAGUCGUACGGUAAGGCCCUUUCGGGGGUACACGAGUGGCGAACGGGUGAGUAACACGUGAGUAACCUGCCCACAACUUUGGGAUAACGCUAGGAAACUGGUGCUAAUACUGGAUAUGUUCUCCUGCUGCAUGGUGGGGGUUGGAAAGCUCCGGCGGUUGUGGAUGGACUCGCGGCCUAUCAGCUUGUUGGUGGGGUAGUGGCCUACCAAGGCGGCGACGGGUAGCCGGCCUGAGAGGGUGACCGGCCACAUUGGGACUGAGAUACGGCCCAGACUCCUACGGGAGGCAGCAGUGGGGAAGAUUGCACAAUGGGCGCAAGCCUGAUGCAGCAACGCCGCGUGCGGGAGGACGGCCUUCGGGUUGUAAACCGCUUUCAGCAGGGACGAAGCUUUUUGUGACGGUACCUGCAGAAGAAGCACCGGCUAACUACGUG
rnacentral:rRNA from 1 species